AAGUGUCUAGCAGUGAGGUGGAGAUUGGAUGACAGAAGGAGUAAAGAUUCGUCAGUGACUGUGGUGAUUGAGCAGAUUUUUCAUGAGAGGACUAAUAAACU